rnacentral:rRNA from 1 species
AUUGAACGCUGGCGGCAGGCCUAAUACAUGCAAGUAGGACGCAGUUGCGAACGGGUGAGUAACGCGUAGGUAACUACCUAUUAGAGGGGGAUAACUAUUGGAAACGAUAGCUAAUACCGCAUACUAGUAGAUGGACCUGCGUUGUAUUAGCUAGUAGGUAGGGUAAUGGCCUACCUAGGCAACGAUACAUAGCCGACCUGAGAGGGUGAGCGGCCACACUGGGACUGAGACGGGGCCCAGACCCAUGGGAGGGACAGCAGUAGGGAAUCUUCGGCAAGGGGGGGAACCCUGACCGAGCCACGCCGCGUGAGUGAAGGAGGUUUGCGGAUCGUAAAGCUCUGUUUUUAAAGAAACGGUACUUAACCAGAAAGGGACGGCUAACUACGUGCCAGCCGCCGCGGUAAUAC